rnacentral:rRNA from 2 species
ACGGGUGAGUAACACGUGAGUAAUCUGCCCUCCACUUUGGGAUAAGCCUCGGAAACGAGGUCUAAUACCGAAUACGACCACUUCCUGCAUGGGAUGGUGGUGGAAAGUUUUUUCGGUGGGGGAUGUGCUCGCGGCCUAUCAGCUUGUUGGUGGGGUAAUGGCCUACCAAGGCUUCGACGGGUAGCCGGCCUGAGAGGGUGACCGGCCACACUGGGACUGAGACACGGCCCAGACUCCUACGGGAGGCAGCAGUGGGGAAUAUUGGACAAUGGGCGGAAGCCUGAUCCAGCAACGCCGCGUGAGGGAUGACGGCCUUCGGGUUGUAAACCUCUUUCAGCGGGGACGAAGCGCAAGUGACGGUACCCGCAGAAGAAGCACCGGCCAACUACGUGCCAGCAGCCGCGGUAAUACGUAGGGUGCGAGCGUUGUCCGGAAUUAUUGGGCGUAAAGGGCUCGUAGGCGGUUUGUCGCGUCGGGAGUGAAAACACCGGGCUUAACUCGGUGCUUGCUUUCGAUACGGGCAGACUAGAGGUAUUCAGGGGAGAACGGAAUUCCUGGUGUAGCGGUGAAAUGCGCAGA